CCUACGGGGGGCUGCAGUAGGGAAUCUUCCGCAAUGGACGAAACUCUGACGGAGCAACGCCGCGUGAGCGAAGAAGGUUUUCGGAUCGUAAAGUUCUGUUGUUAGGGAAGAACAAGUUCGGGCGGAAAUGCGCGUACCUUGACGUUAACUAAUGAGGAAGCGACGGGAUAGUACGUGCCAGCAGCCGCGGUUAUACGUAGAUGGCAAGCGUUGUCCGGAAUUAUUGGGCGUAAAGCGGGCGCAGGCGGGCUUUUAAGUCUGAUGCGAAAUCUUGCGGUCUAACAGCAAGCGGUCAUUGGAAACGGGGGGGCUUGAGUGCAGAAGAGGAAAGCGGAAUUCCACGUGUAGCGGUGAAAUGCGUAGAGAUGUGGAGGAACACCAGUGGCGAAGGCGGCUUUCUGGUCUGUAACUAACGCUGUGGCGCGAAAGCGUGGGGAGCAAACAGGAUUAGAUACCCUAGUAGUC
rnacentral:rRNA from 1 species